rnacentral:rRNA from 1 species
UGGGUAGCUAUGUCGGGAUUGGAUAAGCGCUGAAAGCAUAUAAGCGCGAAACCAGCCACAAGAUGAGAUUUCUUUAAAGGGCCGUGGGAGAUGACCACGUUGAUAGGCUAUAGGUAGAAGGGCAGUAAUGUCCGUAGCCGAGUAGUACUAAUUGCCCGUCAGGCUUGCGCA